AGCAGCCGCGGUAAUUCCAGCUCCAAUAGCGUAUAUUAAAGUUGUUGCAGUUAAAAAGCUCGUAGUUGAAUUUCGGGAUCAAUACGUCGGUCGUGCUUCGGUACGUACUGGCGUAAUUGAUUUCUCCCUUCUGACGAACCAUGAUGUCAUUAACUUGGUGUCAUGGGAAAUCAGGACUGUUACUUUGAAAAAAUUAGAGUGUUAAAGCAGGCUCACGCUUGAAUACAUUAGCAUGGAAUAAUGAAAUAGGACGUUCGAUCCUAUUUUGUUGGUUUUUAGGAUCAACGUAAUGAUUAAUAGGGAUAGUUGGGGGCAUUAGUAUUCAAUUGUCAGAGGUGAAAUUCUUGGAUUUAUUGAAGACUAACUACUGCGAAAGCAUUUGCCAAGGAUGUUUUCAUUAAUCAAGAACGAAAGUUAGGGGAUCGAAGACGAUCAGAUACCGUCGUAGUCUUAACCAUAAACUAUGCCGACUAGGGAUCGGAUGAUGUUAAUUUUUUAAUGACUCAUUCGGCGCCUUACG
rnacentral:rRNA from 1 species